rnacentral:lncRNA from 1 species
GUCCGUAGCCUCUCCCGUCCUUCCUAGCUUGCCCGCCGGCCGCCGGCUCCACCGGAAGCCACCGCCCGUCUUCCAUCUCCGAUCACGGCAGACGCACGAAGGAAGGCCCACAACACACGCACAGAAGAAACAGAGCUCAAUCCUGGAAUCCGAACUUCAUUUUCGUUGAUUCGAGGUUCGCCAGAGGUGAAUCAACGUCGAUUCCAGUGUUCAUGACUUCGAUUGCAGGUUCCGGUGUCCUCUGGUUGCAGUUCCGAUCGUGUAUUCUGACUGCGAGGCGCUCCUUUGGUUCCUUCUUUCGCUUCAGUGAUCGGUGGAACCGCAUAGAAAAGGACGCCCCGAUUCAGUUGACUCCAACCAUCACUUUGGAAUCUUCUCCUCACCGAUUGAGCUCUUCCACUUCUUGGUCUAAGUCAAGCCCAAGAGUCGUCCUCGUCAAAUGAAUGUACGAAUACUGCUCAGGCAGUGUUCGACGAAAUGACCGAAAGACUAUCCGUUAUUCUGUCCCGUUACUGGCCAUUAGAAUCAAUGCUAUAAUAGUGAGGCUGUGCUCGCUGUCUUGAAAGUCGCUGAGUCGUCAUCUCGAGCUCACGCCGUCCUCGCCACCAAAUCAUCAGGUCGUCUCUUCUCCAAUUAAGCUUUGUUGUUGGUGUCGAUUUGUUCUCCACUGGCCUCUCUUGAUCUCUGCUCUGUUCCUUUUUUUUUUCUUUUUUUUCGUUUUUUUUUUUGGCUCGCCUUUCGCUUGACUGCUUCAUCGUCAGACAUUUGCUGCGUCGUCGUGCGGGGACACUCCUCAUAACCAAAAGGCAGAAGCGGGACUGCGACGGUAGAAGCCAAGGAGAUGCGGUCGCGAUUGCUUUCGAUAAUUCCGCUUGCGUAGCUCACUGCAUCAGAGGGAUCGAGUCGACUAAAACCUUCCACGAAGAACAAUAAUCAUCGAUGCAUCACACGUAACGAUAAUCAUCAAUGUGCCGUUCCGAUACGAGCAAGGUCAUCUAGAAGCAGUUUCGCCUGGAUAGCAAAAUGGCCGAAUAAGAAGGAAGCAACGGCGGGGCAUCAUCAGCUGGAGCUUGAAUUCAUGGAAACGAGCAGUGAUGGCAAUGAUCUGCAUCUGGUGCGGCUGAAGGUCUUUCUGGCAGAGACAUUGCUAGCCGAAGGCAAUGAACGUGACUCGGUAUCUCUGUCUACUCCGAACUCAGCGUCUAGGCGGAGCGAGCGCUCCUUUCUUCGGUCAGAUCAACUGUUGCGGUAAUUGGGCUGAUGGGUCUGGGCCGCAGAUCAGAUC